rnacentral:tRNA from 1 species
AGCCCCGUGGGGUAGCGGUCAAUCCUGGCGGGCUCUGGACCCGCUGACCCCGGUUCGAAUCCGGGCGGGGCUACCA